rnacentral:tRNA from 3 species
GCUAUCAUCGCUUAAUGGUAAAGCAUAUCACUGUUAAUGAUUUGAUCUAGGUUCAAUUCCUAGUGAUGGCU